ACCUGCUGUGUGCUGGGGGCUUCCUCAUUCGCUGUAGCCUCUCCUCUUCCCUACCCUAGCUCUCACCAUCCCAACCCCCGUGGGGUGGAUUUUGUGCUGGAAAGAGAAGGGACUCUCAGCCAGAUCCAACCAUUUCCGCGCUGUGCUGGGAGUAGUAGAUUAAUAAGGCUCAGCAGAAUGUUUGGCACGUAGUAGGCAUUCAAUAAAUGUUACUACAUUUUCCCGCCCCACCCCAAGAUAGCUGGAGGAAUUCUCUCCAUUCCAGCCAUGGCUGUUGGCUCUGGGCUUCAGAAGUGAAUGAAGAGAGAAGAGACCAAGAACCGAGUUGAGGAAGGGGAAGGGAAAAGGAAACCCCACCCAGGCUGUGUGGCAAGGCCAGAGGUGUCUCGGCCGCUCUGGUAAGCAUUUGGGGAAAAGGCAGUUGCCUUCAUCCUCAUCAACUGGGGGAGGCGUCAGGCCUCAGCCCAGAGCCCCAAAGCUGCAGCCAGGGGUCACAGGUGGCUUUGGGGAAGCCGUGUCCCAGGACAAGGCAGAGCCGUCUGGAGCUCUGGGCCUGGAGGAAACGCUGGGCACCCAGGGCCCAGAGCUGAAUGGGCCCUUUCUCUUUCUGUAACAAACACAGGCCUUGUUCGUAGGUUGGUGUGUUUGUUUCCUCGGGCGGUUUCUGUUCUCCUUCUCCCCCCUCCGGGCUCAGCCUCGGGCAGGCGCCUCCAAGAGCUCUGGCUUCGAGAAUUUCUACAGCAUUGCUCAUACCCUUUCUGCUUGGAGAGCACCCGGGGGGGGGUCCAAGAGGAAGCGAGAGGUCUUCACCCUUUGCAAAUUUAUUUGGGAAGACGAAACCUGUCCAAGGAGCAAGGACUGUUUUGGGGGGAAUCUCUCACGGAGGCCCGGGUACCGUCCUGGGGGUUUGGCAUGGAUUCCCAGGCUAGCAGGCCAGAAGGACACAAUUAGCCACACGACAGACUAUGUCACCACCCUGCUUAAAACCCUUCAGGGCCCCGUUUUAUUUGCUCGAAAGAGGAGAUCGAGGCUCAGUGCCCAGCGCCUUUGUAGCUACGGUGGCCGAAUUUGAACCCAGACCCAUCUCCCUCUUUCUGCCCCCAGCCUCGGGUUGGGUCCCAGACUCAGUUUCUGCGCCAUCCGGCUCAGUGCCCAGCUCCCCAACUCCUUUAUUCAGUCCCACUUAGACACAGGCACAAACUCGCCCCAGCUCUCCGGGACUUGGCUUCUUUCCUCCGUAAAGCCGAGGUUACCACACCGAUACCUACCUCAGCGUGUGCGGUCAAGACGAAAUGACUUCCUUCUGGGGAAGCACUUAGACCACGCUUGGGCAAUAGAUUCCAGCUGUCCAUGGUCCCUCAUCCUCAGAGGAAAGCCUCUGGGAGCCGCUGUUGUUAUUUCCGCUUUUCAGAUGGGGCCGACCCACUAGGUCGCCGGCCGGAAGGUACCCUUCUGCUAGAAAUUAAAGUCGGUGUAGGAAUUAGCUCCUUUUUGCAGGUGCACCCCACUGGGGCCCAGCCUGGAUGGAGAUUGCGCAAGGAGGUGGGGGUGAAAGCCACUUCCUGACACCCAGAUGUGCAGAGGACCGGAAGGCAGAGGAGUGCUGGGCAGGGGGCGUUUCAAAGGAAGAGCGAAUAUACACGCUUGGCUUGUGGACCUUGAAGACGUUUGCCGGAGCCCCGAUGUCAGCACCUGUCGCUGAGCGUAACUUAGACGCCACAGAUCAUGCUGAAGGGCCAGCCUCACCGACGCCUACCGGCUUUUUCCCCAGCCUCCCGUCCCUCCUCUGCUGGGCUGUGCAAAGCAAAAGGCCUCCAGAUAAAGGCAGAUCUGCCAAGGUCAAGGCCCCUCCUGUCCUUGACCGUACCCAUGUCCUGGGCGCUCACCCAGACCCAGAAAGAAACACGGUGGCAGGAUUGCUCCAGGCAUUCUCUAAAUGCAAUGAUCUCCCUCUGGGCGAGAGGAGGCACCCAAGAAGAGAAGAACCACAUGACAGGGACUAGACAGGUCAGCAUAAAGCGCCCCAAGGACAAUCCUGGGACCUCCACUUGUGUCCUGGGGGUUCACUGAGCCUUGGUGACCUCGAUGUCCUCUUUCAGGAAAAGAGGGCCCUGGGAUCCCAGCCUCAUGUUGCCGUGUUUCCCCCUAGACCACAAAUGUCUCAGAGCUGAGACUGUGCCUCCAUCACCUGUGCACCCCCAGGGCCCGGGCCAUCUAGGUCCCCGCAUCUCAGAGCUGGCAUCUACUGACGUGGCAGAGAACACAGUGUGGCCAAGCACUCUGUGCGGAUCUCCUGUUUUAUGCUCCCUGGCUUCGUCACCUCCACUUUGCCCGUGAGAAAGUUGAGGCUUGCGGAGUGCAGUCAGCUUGCUCUAGCCACGGAGUAAGUGGGAGAGCCACAACUCACAGCCAGACGGACGGAUUCUAGAACCUGCCGGCUCACCCGCCAGGCUGCAGCGAGGCCAUGUAGGCUGAGCAACGGCGGCGCCUAGCACUGACUGGGACACUCAGCUAGGCUGUUGAGAGAGUGAAUAUGCAAGGAAGCUAACCUAACGGCUGGAAUCCAGUAGGAGCUCACUCGGUCCAACUGCUUGAGGUAAAGUCAGGCCUAACCCAAUAUGCCGAGAUACGCAAUAAAAGCAUCAAGCUCAAGGGUCCUGGAUUAGCCCCGGAGGCACAACGAAUCCAAUCCAAUAACGUCUUCCCCGCUGAGAAAUUGGCCGUUCACCUCACUUACCGGUGUUCUGUCUGAUCCUGGGGUCCCGCUGUCGGUGCAGCUGGGAAGUGAAGGUCGAAACCUGGCUACGUUCACCGGUUUCCAACGGGUUGUUCUCCAGUUACGCGUUGGUUCGUCCAGGUUCCGUCUUGGGGGUUCCCCUCGGGGUGCGGGCCCGAGCACGGGUCUGGGAACCCUUUGGGCACAGCCGGCCGGGUUGCCCUGCCCCUGGGGAGCUCUGACCCCAGAAGCAGCCACAUUUUCUGGAGGGGGCUGUUGCCUGGAGGGAGGAGUAAGGACACCUUCUCCCACCCGCGGAGGACGUACAGUCUACAGGGGGAGAAAAAACGAACCGACUGUCACCAUCUCACAGACCAGGAGACAGAGCCAGGGCAGCGAUUGGCCGGAGUUCCCACAGCAGGUGAGGAAAGAAACUCAGACUCCACCCCAGCAAGGGAAAGGAAGGGAAGGGAAGACUCCCUUCCACACCCCCAAGCAAGCGCGUGAUGCACUUUAGCAGAAGUGCCCGCCUUGUGCCAAUAGUCAACAGGCUCUCGUUGGAAGUUCCAACUCGUUCUCGAGGCUUCAAGAGGGCAGGACGAGUCCCGUAUUGGAGUUUUUAGGGGACACGCCAAGACCCCAGAUGGAAAAGACUCUGCGUUGAGGGUGUUCCUAUUUCCCUGAGGAACACUUACAUUUCAGGGACAAAACUAUAUCUCUGAAUCGAAAGUACUUCAAGACAGCAUCUUGGCUGGAAUGGUAUUAUUCUGGUAGGUUCCCCUCCAUGAUUCCUUCAUAAAGUCCCAUGGAUGAAAAUCUGAGAGGAACCCAGUGUUUGUGUAAGACUGAUCUUGUCCUUGUCCCUCUGACGUAAUGAGACUUAUAUUAGGAAACGGGGGGUGGGGAAUGAAAACGUAUUCUUUAUUUUUCACCUCCUUGUCUUUGUUUGAAUGUUUGCGUGAAAAUCGGCAAGAGAAACCAAAAGGAAGGAGAAAUGAAAAAAUUCCUAUUGCCGGGAAAUGAAUACAUCCGAGAGGGAAAUACAGGUUGGUGCCCUCCGAAGCCUGCCCAUUAGAUAACGUCCAUCAGAGAUCAGACAGUUCAACACUCCGUGUUCACUGUCCAGUACUCGUCCUAAUGAUAAGGUAGGGCAUCCCGUCCCUUCCAGAUCCGGGGUUCUAGAAUCACACACGAGUUGUGUUUGGGUUUUUGGUGUUUUCCCCUCCCUCCUGAGAAGGGUCUUAGAGAUUGCGGCACAGAAUUUAAAAUCACACACACCCGGAUUCCAAUCCUGACUCUGCUCCUCGGUGACAACGAGACUUUUGGAAAUUUGUGUCAUCCUUCUGCAUCGUGGACUCUCCCUUUUGAAAGGAGAAGGGGUAGUCACUCUCCUCCUCGGGGUCACCGUGACGAUGAAAUGAGUUGACACAUGAAAUGCCUGAUUGGCUCAUGGUGUGUGCUAAGAAAAGUUAGUUCCUUCCUUCUCUUUUAAAAACCUUCCCUGGGGGGC